GUGACUUUAUUCACUGAAUCUCAGGGUCAGUGGUUUCACUGCUGAAGCCAGAACAUUAGCUCUCCUCUCAUUUCAUAUGCUUUUGGAGCCAUCUGUUAUAAUCUGAAGCUUGUUCCAUAACAGCAAUAUGCAAACAUUUUCACUUUUAUAUUGCUAAUUAUUAUGUUUCAGGAAAUCUAACAGAUCACAGGUAAAUUUGUUACCAUUUCAGGGUUAUCGCCUUCCCUUGCAACUGCUCUCCAAGUUUUUGUACAGAACCACGUAUGUGCAUCAAUAAGAUUUUUUAUUUUAUAAUAUAAUAUUUUAAAAGACAGGUAGUGCGUGCACAUCUGACAAAGUUCACAGGUGCUAGCAGUAUUAUAUAGCAUUGACGAGGAAAAGGUAGUACCCACACUGUGAUUUCCAUGCUCCCAAAACAAAGUUAAUAGUACCGCUGCAUGAGUGUUUAGACCUUUCAGCUGUUUUAGUCAAGUAUAGGUAUACUUGAUGGAGAUUGUUGUAGGUCAAAACGGUCACAAUUACAUUUGUUUUGAAGCAUUUAAGCCCACAUCUGGAUAUUCCUUCCUUGCUUAACAAUAAUAUAAUAUUAAACUGUUUAACUUUACCUAUGUGAAUGUCAUAGUUAGCAUAACCGUGAUGUACACACAGGACAUAAAUAAUGCAGCCUUUUCACAUUAAGUGUGUCUUAGUCUUAGUUAUGUGUAUGACAAGGUUCUGGCAGGCUAAAGAUUUGCAGACAUCAUUAUUUUAAAUAUGUGUAUGUAAUACAUGUUUCAUUCUAGACAAAAUUAUGACCAAAAUUACAUUCGGGAAACAAUUCACCCAUUGGUUCUCGCAACAGAUGAACAAUAUGGAGCACUAAUCAAUCAGAAUCAUGGGCCUCGAACGUGUCACCUACAUGUAAAGGAUGUGUUAACUAAAACAUCUAAUACCAAUACGUACUCAGCCAAUAUGCAUUUCCAAAUGUUUGCUGCAUAAUAUCAUCUCAAUGAACUGUAUGUAUGGGGACAGGAUUUUGACUGUUCGCUACCUGGACAAAGUAUCCACCUGUGUCCACAUGUACUCUGAUCCACUGUGGCAGGUGAACAACGUAAGGCUGCCCAUCCAAUGGGUAGGCUGAGCAUACAUUUAAUUGUUUUAAAUAUUGCAUAGAACAAAACUUAUCUGUACAUUUUAUUUUCAAGUUUAUUUUAUCUACUUCAUAUUUUAAUACGUUAAAAGGCAAUCGACAACUGCUGUAGAUUUUAAUAUUAUUUUGACGCUAUUAUGAAUGAAACUGAGGGACCAUCCUAAAUAAAAUGAAAUACUUGUGGUUAGAAAGCUGCAGUUUGGUUACCUAAUAAUGACCUCUUUGGAUGCUUGCUUAUUUUAGUCAGUUUCUACCAGAUAUUAUUGUUGUUUUCUUUUAAAAGGCGUUUCCCUUAUUAUAAAUACAGAUUAUUUUUAAUUACACCAACCACAGCAAUGCAUGGUAUUCCACCAUGUGUUUGUGUAAAGUAACAAGACCAGGUUAAAACAUAGUAUGUGGCUGGACCUAACACACGUGAUCCAGCCGACCAAUGGUGUAUCUUCAUCACUCAGUCACUCAGUCACUCAGUCACAGACAUUUGUGUUUGUAGGGCUGGCCCCGCUGUUGCGGUCCAGCCAAAAAAAAUGUAUCACACCACUGGCAUCCAGCCAAUGGGCAAUUUAGAUGGAGGAAUGCACAUUUUUCCAGAUCCCACAUUUAAGUUUGAUGAGCUGCUGCAUUGGAUUUUCCUGUGCAUCUUCCACAGAAAAAAUCACAGCGCUCCUGUGGAUGAUUCUGAGUGGCUAGCUGUCACUAUUCUUUGUAACUAGGUCAAUUUCUCACGGUCAUAUUGAAAACUCAAGUAGCACAAUGUACGUGUAAACCGGAUUCCUACCAGUGGCAAUAGUGAUGGCAACCAAUGUUAUAGAGGUGGUGUGUGAAACACUGCUUGUUAGCAAAUGCCUCUUAUACCUACCGAAUAUUCAUCAUUUAGAUGCUAUAUCAGUGGUGGAAAAACACUCAAAAAGCAAACAGACAAAAUUGGAUAAGGGAUACAAGUUUUGUCCAUGACAAAGGUAGCCAGCUAGCAUUAGCCAUUUUUCAUCUUGCUUUUAUAGCAGUUAGCUAACUAUGCAUUUAGCAUACAUAUAGCUUUUUGGAGGAAGCUAUAUACCAUUAUAAAAUGUAAGCUAUAGUUCUUCAUGUUUUGAUAUGAAUAGGCAGAUUCUAGUACUUGCUGCCCCUACAUGAAAUGCCUGGUACUGCACCAUGCAUUUGCAUCAAGUUUCAAAUUUUGGCAUGCACAUUUUUGAAGGCUACAAUGCACAAGAAUGGCCUUGUACAGGUGCUUUAAAUCGAUGCGUGCGUACUAUAAAUUGGCAUUAUGUAAGUAAUAAUUACAGCCCUUAGCAGCUCUUAGCAACUACAGCUCUUCAUCUAUAAUCUUUUGUUCCCUGCUAUAAGGUUGUGGUAGUUUCUUCUUAAGAUUAAUGUUCCACCUCACUGCGGAACAUUAAUCAUCUCAAAUGAUCAUCUACCUUAUGAAGCUUUGAAGCAUUUGGGUUGCCACCUAAGUAAACAUGUACUCACACUUUGUCACUUACUGUUCUACACAACAGUAGGAACAGAAAAUUCAGCAAAUUGAAAGUGAGGGAAAAAAGUAUUUCAUAGCCUACUUUGGGUCAGAAAUUCCUAAGCUGGCUGUAUUUAUUUUUUCUUUAGCUAAUCAGAGUUGUAGCCUUUGGUAGAGACAGUUAAUUACCCUGUCAAUUUCAUUUAAUGCUUUAAUUUGCUAAACAAAUUAGCACUUAAUAAAUAUCAAGUUAUUAACACAAAAGAUGAUAGCACACACAUAUUCACCUAAGGUAAACUGAAAUAAAAUAAAAUAUUUAUUAAGGUGCAGUAUGCAGUGAUUUAAUGAAAAAUCUAAACAGCCUUAGAAAAACAGAGGUAUGCUCCCAGACAUCUGUUUUGUAAAGCUGGGAAGUCACUGCUGUUUAUUUAUAGGAGUAUGGUUAAAUUUGUGGUUAAAUGUUAAUCUUUUUGAGUCAUGGUAGUUAAUUUGCUGCUCAAUACCAUGGACACAGAAUUAAUGAUAGUCACUGGAGAUAUUCGCCUUUGGAUGCCCCAGUCAAUAUUUUCUUUGUGUUGAAAGAGACUUACUGCAAAAAUACAAUGAUUGGGUAUUAUUUUGCAAUUCUCUUUGAAAUAUAGAGAGCAUGCUCAUGCACAUUAUAGCUCAUGCCCCUUUUCUGCUCAUUUGAAGCAUUCAGUUUUUCACAACCUGUUCAGCACAACAGCCUCAGCUUUGAAUUUGGAAGAAUGCAAAAAAGUAUGCACUGUCCUCAAAAGCACAUGACGUCAGCCACCACUUCCUGUAAUUUGAGCUUGUGCAGUGGAAGGAAGAGAUUUCCUUAAGGAGCUUGAGCAAGCAGGCUGUGGGCACCCGAUUGACUUGAGGAGGUUGCUGGUGAGUGAUGUCUAGAUUGUGGAACCCACGCACGGAAACAGUGCUUAAACAGAAUGAGGUCCCCUCACCCAGUACGUUUUUUGAAGUUACUCCAUGAUUAAUUAGAAGGACAUUGGACAUCAGUUUUAAAAACAUGGCUUUUUUCAUUGUGCUAAUUGCGGCUAAUAAAUAUUAGUACUGAUAAAUGCCUCUAUAAAAUCACAAAUAACAUUUUGCUGACUCUAUUAGCUGUUAUUCCCCUUUCUUUCUUUACAGAGAAUGACCCAAACAUUGCCCUACUCGUUAUUGCUUUUUAUGUUUUGAAUGACUUGAAAUGCCGGUCCUGUUGCACUCUAUUACUCAGAAAUUUUCCUUGAUAUCAUUUUUACACCAAUGUCUAAUUUUUUGGCACAUUCUUUUAUCUGCAUCAUAAUAUUGACCAGUGUAACAACGGUUAUAAGUACAGUUAAAGGAAUACUAUUCAGAAUUUUUACCUUGAAAAUAUUUUUUAAAAAUAUUAAUUUUUUCUUUUCAAAUUUAAUUAUGAAAAUAUUUGUGCACCUUUACCUGUAUUCUAAAAUGUGUUUGGGACAUUUCUGGGUGUGGCCUUCUUUUCUCUGUGGGGAGGGUUUGGUGUGGCUACAGAGCCUGUGCUUUGGGAUCAGAUUUCUAAGUGUUUGUUGCUAGCUAGAUAGCUGCUGCAAUCGCCCAGAUACAGCAAAGCAAAAGCCGACAGGGCUCGUUCAAGAACGAAAAGUUAACCUUGGAAUUGCUUUUACUCUGUGGUGUCAGCUGUAGUUUGCCAUGGGGAUGAAAAGUGAUGGAGUUGGCUUGUUUUCUGUUGGAUCUGCAAGUAACAUUACCUCUUGCUGUGCAGCUAUGUUGCCAGACCUUCGGUUUUAAAAUUAUUUAUACAUAUCCAGUUUGUGGUCCCGGCCAAACAAUGUAAUGUGUGGUCCAAGUAAUUGAUGGGAGAAAUGUACCAGUAAUUUCUAAUGAAUUUGGGUGUCAGUGACUCGAUGAGGUACUCAAGGGUGAGUGGGCAGGGUUGAAGUUGGAGGAGACUUCUUUGAUUGUAAACUCUGGCUAAAAAUAUCACGUAAUAAAACAAUUAAUGUAAUUACUUUGUAAUAAGAAGUUGUAACCCCUGGUUAAUCUAAUAACCACCUGUUAAUGUAAUAAGUUUUUAUAUUAACCACCAACAGUUAUUACAUUAACAGUUCAAGUUUUUUAUUAUAUUAACUGGCAGUUAUUACAUUUAAGAGGACAAAGUUAUUACAUAACUUUCUAAUUAAUCCUUGAUGGCAUAAUUAGUCAAACCUGGGUUAAGAAUUUUUACAGGUCCUCAGGGCCUUCGGGCAAAGCCAGAGAGGCAGUCAUCUUAGAACCAAAGAUAACAUAUUUGAAAACCAGUAUAAUUUUGUAAAACAGUGUGUGUAUGAAACCACUGUCAAGUCAAGUAAGAGUGAGCAUUAUCAUCUUUCACUGUCAUUGAAAACAUUUUUGUCUGGAAUUUCCAUUAUUUUUAUGCUGUUUAUAGAGUGUCUAUUGGUCCUUCUUGAUGAAAGAUAUCUU